AAAAAAGGCAAAAAGCUACAAGAGUAUAUUCAUGAAAAAUAUAAGUAAGACCAUCCAAUAUCAAGUCCAUUACCCAAAAAAAUUAGAGUAACAAAAAUAAAUAUAAGUCAUCACCGAUGUUGGGGAGAGAAGAAAGAAUCACCGGAGACAAAAGCAUGAAUGACCCAACAUACUUUGCAAGCUUCCAUAGAAGCCAACCAAAGCCUAUCAGGUAGCAAACAUAGCAGUACCAAUAACAUUUUCAGCAGCAGCAACAAGUAAAAUUUAGACGCAUAGAGAGAGAAUGAGUAAAGCCAUGGCGUUUAAGUCUUUCAUAGCUAUGAGGUAUCAGACUUCAAGCUUUUUAGCUCAUUGAGAAC
rnacentral:misc_RNA from 1 species